rnacentral:rRNA from 1 species
CCCCCUUGUGGUUGGUGUACAGGUGGUGCAUGGCUGUCGUCAGCUCGUGUCGUGAGAUGUUGGGUUAAGUCCCGCAACGAGCGCAACCCUUGUCCUGUGUUGCCAGCACGUAAUGGUGGGGACUCGCAGGAGACUGCCGGGGUCAACUCGGAGGAAGGUGGGGACGACGUCAAGUCAUCAUGCCCCUUAUGUCCAGGGCUUCACACAUGCUACAAUGGCCGGUACAGAGGGCUGCGAUACCGUGAGGUGGAGCGAAUCCCUUAAAGCCGGUCUCAGUUCGGAUCGGGGUCUGCAACUCGACCCCGUG